GUCAGCGUGGUGUAGUGGUUAUCACGUCUGCUUUACACGCAGAAGGUCACCGGUUCGAUCCCGGUCGUUGAUA
rnacentral:tRNA from 1 species